rnacentral:rRNA from 1 species
GAUGUUUUUAUUUUGUGAUAAAAAUAAAAUUUUAUAGUAUAAAAAAUUAUUACCUUUUGUAUCAUGGUAUCAUAAAUUUUAUAAAAAUAUAUACUCGAUAUAUUUAGAGAGAGGUUAAAAGUAUUUUGUCGUGUCAUAGAUUAGUAAUUUUAACCAGGUAACGAAAGCUUAAACGAUAAAUAAGUUAUCUAGAUUUCAUUUAAAGAAUAUAUUUAAAAUAGUUAAAUAUUAGUUUCCAUGCAGUAAUAAAAUUUAGUUUUUUGGGCUUUAAAAUGGUUAAAAUUUAAUUGUGUUAUUAUUUAAUAAGAAAAAAUGUUGGUUGUUUAAUAGUAUGAAAAGUUUUUCUUUUUUAAAAAAAAGGUAAUAUGUGAUAAUAAGUAGAAUUUUAAGAUUAUAUAGAGAACUCAAUUAUUUUAUUAAAUGUUUAACAAAAACAUUGUUUUAUUAAAAUAAAAUAAAGUCUGCCCACUGAAAAUUAAAUGGCUGCGGUAUAUUAACUGUGCUAAGGUAGCAUAAUAAUUUGUCUUUUAAUUGAGGACUAGAAUGAAGGGCUUUAUAGUAAAUUAAUUUUUAUGUAGUUUAUUUGAAUUUAAAGUUUAGGUAAAAAUUCCUAGAUUUAUAAAAAAGACGAUAAGACCCUAAAAGCUUUAUUUUUUUGUUUUAGUAAAAAAUUUUGUAUUUUAUUUUUAUUAUAAUAAAGAUUUUUGGCUGGGGUAGCAACUUUGUUUUGGUAAAAUAAAAUGAAACUUUUGAGAAAAAGAGAACCUUUUUAUUAUGGUAAUUGUUUAAGUUACUUUAGGGAUAACAGCAUAAUGCCUUCGGAGAGAUCUUAUCAAUGAAGGAGUUUGUGACCUCGAUGUUGAAUUAAAAUAUCCGAUUAGAGCAGUAUUUAAGUUGGGAGGGUUUGUUCAACCUUUAAAUUUUUACAUGAUUUGAGUUCAAACCGGUUUAAGCCAGGUUGGUUUCUAUCUUUUUAUAAUUUUAUUAUUUUUGUAGUACGAGAGGACCUAAGAAUGUUUUA